CAGAAAAGAGAAGGGAAUAAUAUACCUAACCUAAACCUAAAAUUUCUAAGAAAAAGAACCCAUUUUAAUUUUUGGUUGCAGUCUAAUCCCGGACGGAACUAAUAUAGAGCAGAGAUGAGAUCCAAGUAUUGAAAAUCAAGAGAAGCAAAUGAAACAGGUAAUUUAUUUCUUCAUUACCGACCACGGUACUCUCUAAUGGCAGCUUCCGGCGAUAUUCACUAUCUCUCGCCAUACUCGAGGGUUUAUUGGGAUUUAAGAUUGAAUCAAUCGCAUUCCCUGAGACUGGUUUAUUAAUAAAUCAAUUCCAUGUGUCGGUGAUGGUCCAUUCUUACUCUAUUAUAAUUGUAAUGGAUAUCCAGCAUCCAGUAAUUGCAAAAUCUCGUUACUACAACCAACUGAUGGUACUGCUUUCGGAUCGAGAUCAUAAGGCUUAAUUGGUGCAGCACUUUCUGAAUGACGAUCUAAUUUCUCACUGGAUUUGGCAUAAACCACUUUCUGAUAAUCAGCCAACGCUACUAUUAUCGCCGGCUUAAUUGGUACUACCGCUUGUUUUCAGAUCAUGGUCGCGAAGCUUAAUUGGUUCAUCCCUUUCGAAUUGACGAUCUAAUUUCUCGCUGGCAUUAGCAGAACCUACUUUCUGAGAAACAAUUGAGGUCAUCAUCAUCGUUGGCUUAGUUGAUCUGAAAAAAUGGGUGGUGGUAUGAAUAACAAAGCAAGUACUUCAAGUAGUAUGAUAGUGUGUUUAAUGUGUGAAAUGGAAGAAGAUCAUGAAACAAAGACAUGUCCAUGGGUUUAUUCAAGGUGCAAACAUGUACCUUGUAAUGGAGUAAGAGCUUUGUUGAGGUCUAACACAUGUAAGUAAUGGAAAGUUGUUCUUGAAAUGCUUGAAUCCUACCUGCAACUACUUUGAGUGGUUUUCUCGAGCUUCUUCCCAUUCUUCAUCACUUCCAAUCAAGCUUCCAUCAGCUCAUGGUUGUAUUGCCUGUGGAGAUGACAAUCACAAUGUUACAAACUGUCCACUGAAGAUUCAAAAAUGCUUUAAAGACCACUGCUACUCUCAAUUAGAACUGAAGAUAUGCAAAAAUCAACAUAAUUUCAACAUAGCAUACCUUGUGUGCAAGAAGAAAUUCUGUGAUGCAUUCAGAUGGGCUUCAGAUGCUCUUGUCAUUGAAAGCAAAGAAACAAUGAAGGGUAAAGUGUAUGAAAUAUGCAAGGAAUUUAAGAAAAAUCUGAAAAUGUAGCCUGCAACAAUUUUAUGAUAACCUAAAUUUAUUUUAAUUUCAGAACUUGCAUUGUCUUACAAAAGCAUCCAUUCAUCCAUUC